AUGCUGACCGCCUCCCUACCCGUGUUUCUCAGCGGCAGACUAUCUCGGUUGGCUGUGCUCUCUUGGUACUCCGAAGACAUUUAUUUGGACUUGUUGAACUGUAAAUACUUACUUCUGGACAGAACCCAGGACAAAUGGUCUAUACUGGCUGCCACAGGCCAGCUGCUGCUCAAGGACAUUAAAAAACAGGAGACUUGGACGUUCCUCUCAGUAACCUAAAGGAAGGCAAGCAACAUGUAUAAGAUUAUUACACUUUUACAGAGCUGUCAGCGAGCUUUCUCCUGAUGCCAUCUGCUGGCUGAAGUGAUGCGGUCUGGCUGGGCUGACCUAAGGAGAGCACCUGUACCAGGGAAGAACCACAAGGCUUCACCUGCUUUUACUCAUCAGGUCCUCAGCAAACACCACAGCAAAUCCAAUUACAGAAUAGUUUAAUAUUGAAGCUCAAGUUGUUAUUUUCAAGGAACAGAAAGGGGGAAAAGGAAAGGGAGAAGAGAGAAGUUACGAAGACAAGUUUUUUUUAUUUAAUUUAUGGUUUUGUGAGUGGUCACUUUUGGAGGCAACAAAACGUUUUCUGAAAAAAAAAACAAAAGGAAAAAAACCAGCACCAUUAAAGAAAGCACGAUCCCUGAAUUCUAAACAAAACACUGUCUUGAAACAAAAAAAAACUGCCAAGAUGCUUGUUUCCCCCAGCCGGGUUGGGUUGGGUAACACAGCGAUGCAUAACAGCACUGAACUGUAGCAAUCCUGCUGAAAUCAACUACACGCCCUUCGGAAGAUUCAGAGAACCAUUUUCCGACCUUGUCCUGUGGGAAUAAUAUUUUCUUUGGUAGAGGACUGAAGGAGUGUAUUUACAUCACUGAAUGUGGAUAGAAAAAAUAUCUACGCACGGUAGGGAUCUCCCCAAUAAAUCUGUAUUUCUCAUGCAUGUGGCGUAUGAGUGGAUUUCACAUUGUCGUUAUACUGCAGGAGUAACACUGCCCUAUGAAGGCAUAGAAUGGCUAAUGUCAAACAGAUGUAAACAUUCAGAAUACUGACAAAAAAAAAAUACAUACGCACAAAAAACCCUGUACUGAUAAUGUGGAUUGUGUUAAGUUUCCAUAAAGCAGAAAAAAAUAUUUUACAGCAGUACAAGAGAAUUAUGGCAACAAAGUAAAGCACUUUUCUUGUAACAUUCAUGAACAGUACAAAUACAACAAAGUUAUCCUACUGACUAAAUUAUUCUUUAACUAUCAAAUAUAGUACAAAGCGAAAUAUUAUGUGCUAUAAAAGAAGCAGCUCCUUAAAUUAGACUAAAAAAAUGCUUUUUUUUGUUGUUGUUGUUGGUUUUACAGUGACAAAGCAUGAUGACCGAAGACAACAGGAUUUCAUAGACUCAGAAACACUUCGCUACACGGGUCCGUGGCCACCAAAUGUUCCGCAGAUCCCAGAGGACGCCCGGCCGUGCUGUGCCAGGAGGCUGGGGAAGUCAUUCAGUGCUCAGAGCAGGGCCCCUCACGUGCGUCAGCUACAAUGAUCCCUUUCGGUGGCACUUCUCAGCUCGUGCUUAUCCUGGUACUUCACCACACCUUGGAGAAACUGCUCAACCAGAGGCUACAAUAACUAUUCUGAAAUUGUGCGUGUGUUCAUAAGGGGAAGGGGGUGCAGCAUAAGGUAAUUUUACUUCAGAAAUUGCAUUAUAAAGCACCAUAUGCACCAGCUCAAAAACUGGGCAAGGAAUUGCAGGGCCCUGAAAAACCAUCUGCACGUUCUGUAGCUUACCCUGACAACAUGCACCGCCCUCA